UUGUGAGAUUGUCAACUUUUAAAAAUUUGUUAUGCUUUUCUGAUUCUGUGGAGAAAAACUUCUUACCUAAUUUUGUAUUAUUUUUCUUAAAAAGAAGUCUAAAAUUUUACAAGCUUCAGGCUCCACACCACCUGGCCUUCACUGGAGGCUCAGUGGUAAAGAAUCUGCCUGCAAUGCAGGACACGCAGAAGGCAUGGGUUCAACCCCUGGGUUGGGAAGAUCCCCUGGAGAAAGAAAUGGUAACUAGCGCCAGUGUUCUUGCCUUGAGAAUCCCAUGGACAGAGGAGCCUGGAGAGCUACAGUCCCUGGGGUCACAAGAGUCGGACAUGACUGAGCAACUAAACAACAACAAGAGACUCCAUCUUGUUCCAGGUGCCAGGCUCUUGUUGCUCCCGAAACUGAUCAACCAGGACUAUUUCUGCACACUCAAAAGCCCAGUUGUUGUGUCUCCAACAGUAGGUGCAUGACACUUGUUAAAUCGUGAUCCUUGAUCCAUGGCACAGGACAUGACCUUGGACCAGGCAUGGCC
ensembl:lncRNA